rnacentral:rRNA from 1 species
UGGUGGAGUGAUUUGUCUGGUUAAUUCCGUUAACGAACGAGACCUCAACCUGCUAACUAGUUGCGUGAUAAAAGCGCAUACUUCUUAGAGGGACUAUGUGUGCAUAAUGCAAGGACGUUUGAGGCAAUAACA